GACAGUAGAUGGGAGUUCCUCACCUCAUUUUCUAUAGGAAUCCAUUUCUAUCCAGAAACUCCACCUUCCUGCCCUAUGCUGUGAGGUCAGCGAGAAGACUGGCAUCUGUCAUUUUUGUGGCUUCCUCUCUCUGCCUUCGUCUGCAUCAGAAUAUGGGGAAAACAGAGGACAGAACUUGAGCACAGCCCUCUCGGCCUCAGAAGGAAAAAGACUGUCACUGCACCUUUGGAUCAUGGAACCCAACAUUCAAGGCUGCCUGUCCUUCCUCAGAUGUGAAUGGAAAAUUGAGCCACUCAUUCUUUGCCUCUGAGUUCACCACAGUGAAUAAAAUAAAGCAUAAGCUAAGU
rnacentral:lncRNA from 1 species